rnacentral:rRNA from 1 species
UUAAGCGACUAAGCGUACACGGUGGAUGCCCUGGCAGUCAGAGGCGAUGAAGGACGUGCUAAUCUGCGAUAAGCGUCGGUAAGGUGAUAUGAACCGUUAUAACCGGCGAUUUCCGAAUGGGGAAACCCAGUGUGUUUCGACACACUAUCAUUAACUGAAUCCAUAGGUUAAUGAGGCGAACCGGGGGAACUGAAACAUCUAAGUACCCCGAGGAAAAGAAAUCAACCGAGAUUCCCCCAGUAGCGGCGAGCGAACGGGGAGCAGCCCAGAGCCUGAAUCAGUAUGUGUGUUAGUGGAAGCGUCUGGAAAGGCGCGCGAUACAGGGUGACAGCCCCGUACACAAAAAUGCACAUAUUGUGAGCUCGAUGAGUAGGGCGGGACACGUGGUAUCCUGUCUGAAUAUGGGGGGACCAUCCUCCAAGGCUAAAUACUCCUGACUGACCGAUAGUGAACCAGUACCGUGAGGGAAAGGCGAAAAGAACCCCGGCGAGGGGAGUGAAAAAGAACCUGAAACCGUGUACGUACAAGCAGUGGGAGCACGCUUAGGCGUGUGACUGCGUACCUUUUGUAUAAUGGGUCAGCGACUUAUAUUCUGUAGCAAGGUUAACCGAAUAGGGGAGCCGAAGGGAAACCGAGUCUUAACUGGGCGUUAAGUUGCAGGGUAUAGACCCGAAACCCGGUGAUCUAGCCAUGGGCAGGUUGAAGGUUGGGUAACACUAACUGGAGGACCGAACCGACUAAUGUUGAAAAAUUAGCGGAUGACUUGUGGCUGGGGGUGAAAGGCCAAUCAAACCGGGAGAUAGCUGGUUCUCCCCGAAAGCUAUUUAGGUAGCGCCUCGUGAAUUCAUCUCCGGGGGUAGAGCACUGUUUCGGCAAGGGGGUCAUCCCGACUUACCAACCCGAUGCAAACUGCGAAUACCGGAGAAUGUUAUCACGGGAGACACACGGCGGGUGCUAACGUCCGUCGUGAAGAGGGAAACAACCCAGACCGCCAGCUAAGGUCCCAAAGUCAUGGUUAAGUGGGAAACGAUGUGGGAAGGCCCAGACAGCCAGGAUGUUGGCUUAGAAGCAGCCAUCAUUUAAAGAAAGCGUAAUAGCUCACUGGUCGAGUCGGCCUGCGCGGAAGAUGUAACGGGGCUAAACCAUGCACCGAAGCUGCGGCAGCGACGCUGAUGCGUUGUUGGGUAGGGGAGCGUUCUGUAAGCCUGCGAAGGUGUGCUGUGAGGCAUGCUGGAGGUAUCAGAAGUGCGAAUGCUGACAUAAGUAACGAUAAAGCGGGUGAAAAGCCCGCUCGCCGGAAGACCAAGGGUUCCUGUCCAACGUUAAUCGGGGCAGGGUGAGUCGACCCCUAAGGCGAGGCCGAAAGGCGUAGUCGAUGGGAAACAGGUUAAUAUUCCUGUACUUGGUGUUACUGCGAAGGGGGACGGAGAAGGCUAUGUUGGCCGGGCGACGGUUGUCCCGGUUUAAGCGUGUAGGCUGGUUUUCCAGGCAAAUCCGGAAAAUCAAGGCUGAGGCGUGAUGACGAGGCACUACGGUGCUGAAGCAACAAAUGCCCUGCUUCCAGGAAAAGCCUCUAAGCAUCAGGUAACAUCAAAUCGUACCCCAAACCGACACAGGUGGUCAGGUAGAGAAUACCAAGGCGCUUGAGAGAACUCGGGUGAAGGAACUAGGCAAAAUGGUGCCGUAACUUCGGGAGAAGGCACGCUGAUAUGUAGGUGAAGUCCCUUGCGGAUGGAGCUGAAAUCAGUCGAAGAUACCAGCUGGCUGCAACUGUUUAUUAAAAACACAGCACUGUGCAAACACGAAAGUGGACGUAUACGGUGUGACGCCUGCCCGGUGCCGGAAGGUUAAUUGAUGGGGUCAGCGCAAGCGAAGCUCUUGAUCGAAGCCCCGGUAAACGGCGGCCGUAACUAUAACGGUCCUAAGGUAGCGAAAUUCCUUGUCGGGUAAGUUCCGACCUGCACGAAUGGCGUAAUGAUGGCCAGGCUGUCUCCACCCGAGACUCAGUGAAAUUGAACUCGCUGUGAAGAUGCAGUGUACCCGCGGCAAGACGGAAAGACCCCGUGAACCUUUACUAUAGCUUGACACUGAACAUUGAGCCUUGAUGUGUAGGAUAGGUGGGAGGCUUGGAAGUGUGGACGCCAGUCUGCAUGGAGCCGACCUUGAAAUACCACCCUUUAAUGUUUGAUGUUCUAACGUUGACCCGUAAUCCGGGUUGCGGACAGUGUCUGGUGGGUAGUUUGACUGGGGCGGUCUCCUCCUAAAGAGUAACGGAGGAGCACGAAGGUUGGCUAAUCCUGGUCGGACAUCAGGAGGUUAGUGCAAUGGCAUAAGCCAGCUUGACUGCGAGCGUGACGGCGCGAGCAGGUGCGAAAGCAGGUCAUAGUGAUCCGGUGGUUCUGAAUGGAAGGGCCAUCGCUCAACGGAUAAAAGGUACUCCGGGGAUAACAGGCUGAUACCGCCCAAGAGUUCAUAUCGACGGCGGUGUUUGGCACCUCGAUGUCGGCUCAUCACAUCCUGGGGCUGAAGUAGGUCCCAAGGGUAUGGCUGUUCGCCAUUUAAAGUGGUACGCGAGCUGGGUUUAGAACGUCGUGAGACAGUUCGGUCCCUAUCUGCCGUGGGCGCUGGAGAACUGAGGGGGGCUGCUCCUAGUACGAGAGGACCGGAGUGGACGCAUCACUGGUGUUCGGGUUGUCAUGCCAAUGGCACUGCCCGGUAGCUAAAUGCGGAAGAGAUAAGUGCUGAAAGCAUCUAAGCACGAAACUUGCCCCGAGAUGAGUUCUCCCUGACCCUUUAAGGGUCCUGAAGGAACGUUGAAGACGACGACGUUGAUAGGCCGGGUGUGUAAGCGCAGCGAUGCGUUGAGCUAACCGGUACUAAUGAACCGUGAGGCUUAACCUU